rnacentral:rRNA from 1 species
GACGAACGCUGGCGGCGUGCUUAACACAUGCAAGUCGAACGGAAAGGCCCUGCUUUGGUGGGGUGCUCGAGUGGCGAACGGGUGAGUAACACGUGAGUAACCUGCCCUUGACUUUGGGAUAACUUCAGGAAACUGGGGCUAAUACCGGAUAGGAGCUCCUGCUGCAGGGUGGGGGUUGGAAAGUUUCGGCGGUGGGGGAUGGACUCGCGGAUUAUCAGCUUGUUGGUGGGGUAGUGGCUUACCAAGGCGUUGACGGGUAGCCGGCCUGAGAGGGUGACCGGCCACAUUGGGACUGAGAUACGGCCCAGACUCCUACGGGAGGCAGCAGUGGGGAAUAUUGCACAAUGGGCGGAAGCCUGAUGCAGCAACGCCGCGUGCGGGAUGACGGCCUUCGGGUUGUAAACCGCUUUCGCCUGUGACGAAGCGUGAGUGACGGUAAUGGGUAAAGAAGCACCGGCUAACUACGUG